UUCCGGUUGAUCCUGCCGGAGGUCACUGCUAUUGGGGUUCGGCUAAGCCAUGCAAGCGGAGGGCGCGGUCGAAAGAUCGUGGCCCCGCACACGGCUCAGUAACACGUAGUCAACCUACCCUUGGGACGGGGACAACCUCGGGAAACUGAGGCUAAUACCCGAUAGGCGAGGGACGCUGGGAUGCCUCCUCGCCCAAAGCUCUGGCGCCCAAGGAUGGGACUGUGGCCUAUCAGGCUGUUGGUGGUGUAACGGACCACCAAACCUACGACGGGUACGGGCGAUGGGAGUCGGAGCCCGGAGAUGGGGACUGAGACAAGGCCCCAGGCCCUACGGGGCGCAGCAGGCGCGAAAACUCCGCAAUGCGCGCAAGCGUGACGGGGGGACCCCAAGUGCCGUUGGUCUUUCGAUCGACGGUUUUUAGGAAGUCUAAGAAGCUUCCGGAAUAAGGGCUGGGCAAGACUGGUGCCAGCCGCCGCGGUAACACCAGCAGCCCGAGUGGUGGCCACGAUUAUUGGGCCUAAAGCGCUCGUAGCCGGAUCAUCAAGUCCCUUGUGAAAUCGGGCCGCCCAACGGUUCGGCGUGCAAGGGAUACUGUUGGUCUUGAGGCCGGGAGAGGUCGGAGGUACUCCUGGGGUAGCGGUGAAAUGCUCUAAUCCUAGGGGGACCACCAGUGGCGAAGGCGUCCGACCAGAACGGACCUGACGGUGAGGGGCGAAGGCUAGGGGAGCGAACGGGAUUAGAUACCCCGGUAGUCCUAGCUGUAAAGCAUGCGGGCUAGGUGUCUAGCGCUCCUCGAGGGCGCUAGGUGCCGGAGGGAAGCCGUUAAGCCCGCCGCCUGGGAAGUACGGCCGCAAGGCUGAAACUUAAAGAAAUUGGCGGGG
rnacentral:rRNA from 1 species